AUGUAGCACCUGCCGGGGGGGAUGAGAACCCCCGACCGGGGUUCGACAACUGGCAACGCCAGUUGGACAGACCGCGAGCCUGCGAGCGGGCUGCCCCGACAAAAACGCCGGGAGCGUUUUUGAACAACGCCUGCGUUGGCCCCGCAGGGGCGAGCGAAGCGAGUCAAUCCCCCCUCACCGCCA
rnacentral:sRNA from 1 species